CCUACGGGAGGCAGCAGGGAGGAAUAUUGGGCAAUGGACGCAAGUCUGAACCAGCCAGGCCGCGGGCAGGAAGACGGCGCUAUGAGUUGUAAACUGCUUUUGUACGAGGGUAAACGCAGAUACGCGUAUCUGUCUGAAAGUAUCGUACGAAUAAGGAUCGGCUAACUCCGUGCCAGCAGCCGCGGUAAUACGGAGGAUUCAAGCGUUAUCCGGAUUUAUUGGGUUUAAAGGGUGCGUAGGCGGUCGGAUAAGUUAGAGGUGAAAUCCCGAGGCUCAACUUCGGAAUUGCCUCUGAUACUGUUCGGCUAGAGCGUAGUUGCGGUAGGCGGAAUGUGUGGUGUAGCGGUGACAUGCUUAGAGAUCAUACAGAACACCGAUUGCGAAGGCAGCUUACCAAGCUACUUCUGACGUUGAGGCACGAAAGCGUGGGGAGCAAACAGGAUUAGAUACCCCUGUAGUC
rnacentral:rRNA from 1 species